rnacentral:rRNA from 1 species
UACGAAGGGGGCUAGCGUUGUUCGGAUUUACUGGGCGUAAAGCGCACGUAGGCGGAUCGUUAAGUCGGGGGUGAAAUCCUGGAGCUCAACUCCAGAACUGCCUUCGAUACUGGCGAUCUUGAGUCCGGAAGAGGCGAGUGGAAUUCCUGGUGUAGCGGUGAAAUGCGCAGAUAUCAGGAGGAACACCAAUGGCGAAGGCAGCUCGCUGGAACGGUACUGACGCUGAGGCGCGAAAGCGUGGGGAGCGAACAGG